UACGUAGGGUGCAAGCGUUGUCCGGAAUUAUUGGGCGUAAAGAGCUCGUAGGCGGUCUGUCGCGUCGGCUGUGAAAACUCGGGGCUCAACCCCGAGCCUGCAGUCGAUACGGGCAGACUAGAGUGCUGUAGGGGAGACUGGAAUUCCUGGUGUAGCGGUGAAAUGCGCAGAUAUCAGGAGGAACACCGGUGGCGAAGGCGGGUCUCUGGGCAGUAACUAACGCUGAGGAGCGAAAGCGUGGGGAGCGAACAGG
rnacentral:rRNA from 1 species